rnacentral:rRNA from 1 species
UACGGAAGGCAGCAGUGGGGAAUAUUGCACAAUGGGCGCAAGCCUGAUGCAGCCAUGCCGCGUGUAUGAAGAAGGCCUUCGGGUUGUAAAGUACUUUCAGUCGUGAGGAAGGUGUUAAGGUUAAUAACCUUAGCAAUUGACGUUAGCGACAGAAGAAGCACCGGCUAACUCCGUGCCAGCAGCCGCGGUAAUACGGAGGGUGCGAGCGUUAAUCGGAAUUACUGGGCGUAAAGGGCACGCAGGCGGUUAAUUAAGUUGGAUGUGAAAUCCCCGGGCUUAACCUGGGAAUGGCAUUCAAGACUGGUUAGCUAGAGUCUUGUAGAGGGGGUAGAAUUCCAUGUGUAGCGGUGAAAUGCGUAGAGAUGUGGAGGAAUACCGGUGGCGAAAGGCGGCCCCUGGACAAAAGACUGACGCUCAUGUGCGAAAGCGUGGGGAGCAAAACAGGAUUAGAUACC